UACGGAGGGAGCUAGCGUUGUUCGGAAUUACUGGGCAUAAAGCGCGCGUAGGCGGCUUUGUAAGUUAGAGGUGAAAGCCCGGGGCUCAACCCCGGAACUGCCUUUAAGACUGCAUCGCUUGAAUCCGGGAGAGGUGAGUGGAAUUCCGAGUGUAGAGGUGAAAUUCGUAGAUAUUCGGAAGAACACCAGUGGCGAAGGCGGCUCACUGGACCGGUAUUGACGCUGAGGUGCGAAAGCGUGGGGAGCAAACAGG
rnacentral:rRNA from 1 species